CAUGUUGAAACAUUAUCGACAUCCAGAGAACAACAGCAGGAAGAUCACAGAGCUAAGAGGUCUCAUCAUUGUCCACAUUACUGACCAGGUGAACCCAGGUGGGCUAAGGAAUGAAAACACUGGAUACUGAAAAUUGUAAAACUGUUGCCUGGUCUGAUGAAUCCCUGUUCCUGCUGUUUCAUGCUGAUGGGAGGACUGGGGGAGGAAACCACAAGGACAUACAUCCAGUGGUGGAAAAAGUACCUAACUGUCAGACUGAGUGAAAGUAAUGAAACCUUAAUAGAAAAUGACACAAGUAAAAGUGAGUUACUCAGUAAAAUACUACUUGAGUAAAAGUCUAAAAGUAUUUGGUUGUAAAUAUACUUAAGAAUCAAAAGUAAAAGUGUGAAUCAUUUCAAA